rnacentral:lncRNA from 1 species
AAAAAGAGAGAAGAAAUUGAAAAUUAUGACAGUGGGUUUGGAGUUUCUCCUGUAAGUGAUUGGGAGCCAUUGAAGGAUUACAAGUAGUUGAAUAAAUCAAAAUAGUUUUUGAGAAGGAAGUUUCCCUGGAAGAAUGAUGCAUGAGUGUAAGUGAAUGAGAAUAACAUUUACAGGAAAUCUUAGAGUGAGAGGACAUAAUUUUCUCCUUCCAAUAUCUCCUUCUGGCUGACUAAGAUAAAAUGGAUAAAUGGGCUGGAGACUGAAAACCUGGAAUAGAAACGUUUUUUGACAGCUUUCAUGCAACAACUAACUCGACAAGAGGUA